UACGGGGGGGGGCAAGCGUUGUUCGGAAUUACUGGGCGUAAAGGGCCAGUAGGCGGCCGGCUAAGUCCGACGUGAAAUCCCCAGGCUUAACCUGGGAACUGCGUCGGAUACUGGCUGGCUUGAAUUCGGGAGAGGGAUGCAGAAUUCCAGGUGUAGCGGUGAAAUGCGUAGAUAUCUGGAGGAAUACCGGUGGCGAAGGCGGCAUCCUGGACCGACAUUGACGCUGAACGGCGAAAGCU
rnacentral:rRNA from 1 species